rnacentral:misc_RNA from 1 species
AAAAAAAAAAAAAAAAAACAAAUCGCAAGCAGAGAGAAAAGCAAAAUAAAAUCAAUUUCGCGAUGACUGAUCAACCCCGCCUCAGCAUCAACAAUCUACGGACGACAUCUCAACUCAUCAAACAGGCCUCCGCCUCCUUCUCCGCCAAUCUCUUCACCUUCCUCCUCCUCUCCCUUCUCCUGUUCUCCUUCCGUUCCCUCGUCGAGAGUGGGACCCACGUCCUCACAUCAUUCAUCGACCGUGACCCUUCCCUUAGAUCCCUCCUCUCCCGCCUCGACCUCUCCGGCCGCCAUCUCCACCCUCACCACCGCAUUCAACGCUUCCCUCCUCGCCGCCACCGCCGCCCCUUUCUCCACCUCACUCGCGUGGGAACCCUAGAUGAUGACUUCUUCUCCGGCGACGACGAUACGGAUCGUUCCCUCUUUGGUCCUAACCGUAAGCUUUCUCCAAAUGGCAGCUCUGUAAUUCUUUACAACCUCGAUCCUGGGUUGGGAUUUUCCGAGUAUGUCGUCGAUAACGGGAUCAAGAUUUCGGAAACUGUUCAUUCUGGGAUUCAAUUCAAGGUGGAUAGUCUACUUAUGAAUAGUAGCGACAGGGAAAGUACUGAUUAUAGUGAUAAUGAAAAGGAAGAGGAAGAGGAAGAGGAAA